rnacentral:lncRNA from 1 species
AAAAAUGCAUUGAAAAAAUUCAAAAUAUAUUUAAAAAAAAAAAAAAAAAAAAAAAAAAAAAAAAAAAAAAAAAGCCAGACAUGAUGGAGUACCUGUAUUCCCAGAUACUUAAGAGGCUGAGGGGAGAGGAUCACUUGAGCCUGGGAGACUGAGGCUGCAGUGAUCAGUAAUGGUGCCACUGCACUCCAGCCUGGGUGACAGAGUGGAACCCUGCCUCCAAAAACAAAACAAAAAAAAGAGGUAGGCAUUGCAUGGACUGCAUGGCAGGAUUCUGGAUUAAAUCAGAUCAAGCCCUGGUGUCACCUCAUGGCAAGAUCCAAUCAGAUCAUGCCUCCUGACAUUAUCUCAUUGCAAGAUCCAAUCAGAUCACACCUCAUUACCCUAUGCAUAUAAAACCUGACUCAACCCCCACCUCAGGGAGACACAGCUUUGGGAACUUUCCCCAGGGUUCUCCCUACUUGUUAUAAGUAACAAAAUCCCCUUGCUAAAUACUCCUUGUUGUGGUCACCGUGUCGAUAUUCACCAAGCAAACUCACCAAUUGUAUGGGUAACACUUUGAUUUUGGAGAGUCCUUGGUUCAUCUUCUGUUUCCAUUACUUUGUAGCCAAGAAAAUAAGUAGUAUUAUAUCUGAAUGGGCCUUCAUUCCUUGUAAAGAGACAGUGAAUUCCAAACUCACUGGACAUUGGAUGUGAACUGACAACACAGUUUAGUCUAGUUUUGUGAGUAUCACACAAUUUAGGGGUAGAUAAUAUAACUGUUCAAUCUUCAGCUAGUGGGAAUAUACUGCCUACUAUUAAGUUUUUGUAAUGAUCAAAUCAGAUAAUUUAUUCAAAGAACUUUAUACCAUACCAUCUACACAAAUAUAGCCAUUUUUUUCCUUUAUAGUCAAAAAUUGGUGGGAAUAAAAUCUGUAGCAAAAAGUGGGUAAAGCAAAAUCCAAAGUAGAUCCUACUCUUCACCAGCAUUCCACAAUACUUCUUAAAAGCUCCUGA